rnacentral:rRNA from 1 species
AAAUUGAAGAGUUUGAUCAUGGCUCAGAUUGAACGCUGGCGGCAGGCCUAACACAUGCAAGUCGAACGGUAACAGGAAGCAGCUUGCUGCUGUGCUGACG